rnacentral:rRNA from 1 species
GAAGCUUGCUUCUUUGCUGACGAGUGGCGGACGGGUGAGUAAUGCUUAGGGAUCUGCCCAGAGGUGGGGGACAACAGUUGGAAACGACUGCUAAUACCGCAUGAUGCCUACGGGCCAAAGGGGGCUUCGGCUCUCGCCUUUGGAGGAACCUAAGUGAGAUUAGCUAGUUGGUGAGGUAAUGGCUCACCAAGGCGACGAUCUCUAGCUGGUCUGAGAGGAUGAUCAGCCACACUGGAACUGAGACACGGUCCAGACUCCUACGGGAGGCAGCAGUGGGGAAUAUUGCACAAUGGGGGAAACCCUGAUGCAGCCAUGCCGCGUGUGUGAAGAAGGCCUUCGGGUUGUAAAGCACUUUCAGUAGCGAGGAAAAGUUAUUGGUUAAUACCCAAUAGCCUUGACGUUAACUACAGAAGAAGCACCGGCUAACUCCGUGCCAGCAGCCGCGGUAAUACGGAGGGUGCGAGCGUUAAUCGGAAUUACUGGGCGUAAAGCGCAUGCAGGCGGUCUGUUAAGCCAGAUGUGAAAGCCCGGGGCUCAACCCCGGAAUAGCAUUUGGAACUGGCAGACUAGAGUUUUGUAGAGGGGGGUAGAAUUUCAGGUGUAGCGGUGAAAUGCGUAGAGAUCUGAAGGAAUACCAGUGGCGAAGGCGGCCCCCUGGACAAAAACUGACGCUCAGAUGCGAAAGCGUGGGUAGCAAACAGGAUUAGAUACCCUGGUAGUCCACGCCGUAAACGAUGUCAACUAGUUGCUUGUAGCUUUUACGCUGUGGGUGACGGA